UACGGAGGUGGCAAGCGUUACUCGGAUUGAUUGGGUGUAAAGGGCGUGUAGGUGGUGAAUUAAGUCGAUUGUGAAAUCCCUUGGCUUAACCAAGGAACUGCAUUCGAAACUGAUUUGCUUGAGUGAUAGAGAGGUAAGCGGAAUUCCCGGUGUAACAGUGAAAUGUGUAGAUAUCGGGAGGAACACCAGUGGCGAAGGCGGCUUACUGGCUAUCAACUGACACUGAAACGCGAGAGCUAGGGGAGCAAACAGG
rnacentral:rRNA from 1 species